UUCCUCAGGUGCAGCUAGCAUGUUAAAUACUGUAUUAACCCCUGUCUUCCUUCCUCAGGUGCAGCUAGCAUGUUAAAUACUGUAUUAACCCUGUCUUCCUUCCUCAGGUGCAGCUAGCAUGUUAAAUACUGUAUUAACCCUGUCUUCCUUCCUCAGGUGCAGCUAGCAUGUUAAAUACUGUAUUAACCCUGUCUUCCUUCCUCAGGUGCAGCUAGCAUGUUAAAUACUGUAUUAACCCUGUCUUCCUUCCUCAGGUGCAGCUAGCAUGUUAAAUACUGUAUUACCCCCUGUCUUCCUUCCUCAGGUGCAGCUAGCAUGUUAAAUACUGUAUUAACCCCUGUCUUCCUUCCUCAGGUGCAGCUAGCAUGUUAAAUACUGUAUUACCCCCUGUCUUCCUUCCUCAGGUACAGCUAGCAUGUUAAAUACUGUAUUAACCCUGUCUUCCUUCCUCAGGUGCAGCUAGCAUGUUAAAUACUGUAUUAACCCCUGUCUUCCUUCCUCAGGUGCAGCUAGCAUGUUAAAUACUGCAUUACCCCCUGUCUUCCUUCCUCAGGUACAGCUAGCAUGUUAAAUACUGUAUUAACCCUGUCUUCCUUCCUCAGGUGCAGCUAGCAUGUUAAAUACUGCAUUACCCCCUGUCUUCCUUCCUCAGGUGCAGCUAGCAUGUUAAAUACUGCAUUACCCCCUGUCUUCCUUCCUCAGGUGCAGCUAGCAUGUUAAAUACUGUAUUAACCCUGUCUUCCUUCCUCAGGUGCAGCUAGCAUGUUAAAUACUGUAUUAACCCUGUCUUCCUUCCUCAGGUGCAGCUAGCAUGUUAAAUACUGCAUUACCCCCUGUCUUCCUUCCUCAGGUGCAGCUAGCAUGUUAAAUACUGUAUUAACCCUGUCUUCCUUCCUCAGGUGCAGCUAGCAUGUUAAAUACUGUAUUAACCCUGUCUUCCUUCCUCAGGUGCAGCUAGCAUGUUAAAUACUGCAUUACCCCCUGUCUUCCUUCCUCAGGUGCAGCUAGCAUGUUAAAUACUGUAUUAACCCUGUCUUCCUUCCUCAGGUGCAGCUAGCAUGUUAAAUACUGUAUUAACCCUGUCUUCCUUCCUCAGGUGCAGCUAGCAUGUUAAAUACUGUAUUAACCCUGUCUUCCUUCCUCAGGUGCAGCUAGCAUGUUAAAUACUGUAUUAACCCUGUCUUCCUUCCUCAGGUGCAGCUAGCAUGUUAAAUACUGUAUUAACCCCUGUCUUCCUUCCUCAGGUGCAGCUAGCAUGUUAA